rnacentral:tRNA from 1 species
AUUAGCGCAGCGGUAGCGCACUUCCUUGACAUGGAAGGGGUCACUGGUUCGAUCCCAGUAU